GGACCACCAGUGAGUCGUAGAAAUGAUCCCGUGGUGGAUCGUGGGUUAAUUGCGUGCUCCAGGUCCAUGUUGGAGACGUUGAUUGUCCGGGGCGAGCCCAACGUCUCAGUUCGUUGCCGAAGGUUCAAGCAGUUUUUUUCUUCCCUUUUUCCUCUCGACCUUGUAUUGCUUCUUUAUCUGUCGUUUUAUAAAUUCCUCAUGUAUCUGUAUAAUGCUCUGUAUACUGUAUUGGACGUGUGGUUGUUAUUUAUGCACUGGGUUGCUGCUGUUGUUUUA